rnacentral:tRNA from 1 species
GAAGGUACAGCUGAGGGGUAGAGCGUGUGCUUAGCAUGCAUGAGGUCCUGGGUUCAAUCCCCAGUACCUCCA